UACAGAGGGGGCAAGCGUUGUUCGGAAUUACUGGGCGUAAAGGGCGCGUAGGCGGCCUGCUAAGUCGAACGUGAAAUCCCCGGGCUCAACCCGGGAACUGCGUCCGAUACUGGCAGGCUUGAAUCCGGGAGAGGGAUGUGGAAUUCCAGGUGUAGCGGUGAAAUGCGUAGAUAUCUGGAGGAACACCGGUGGCGAAGGCGGCAUCCUGGACCGGUAUUGACGCUGAUGCGCGAAAGCCAGGGGAGCAAACGGG
rnacentral:rRNA from 1 species